rnacentral:rRNA from 1 species
AUUGAACGCUGGCGGCAUGCCUUACACAUGCAAGUCGAACGGUAACGGGCCUUCGGGUGCCGACGAGUGGCGAACGGGUGAGUAAUACAUAGGCACGUGCCCGAUCGUGGGGGAUAACGAGGCGAAAGCUUUGCUAAUACCGCAUACGAUCUUCGGAUGAAAGCAGGGGACCGCAAGGCCUUGCGCGGACGGAACGGCAGAUGGCAGAUUAUGUAGUUGGUGGGGUAAAAGCGUCCCAAGCCGACGAUCUGUAGCUGGUCUGAGAGGAUGAAUAGCCACCCUGGGACUGUGACGAGGCCCAGACUCCUACGGUAGGCAGCAGAGGGGAAUGUUGGACAAUGGGCGCAAGGCUGAUCCAGCCAUGCCGCGUGCAGGAUGAAGGCCUUCUGGUUGUAAACUGCUUUUGUACGGAACGAAAAGCCUUCUUUUAAUACAGGAGGGUCAUGACGGUACCGUAAGAAUAAGCACCGGCUAACUACGUG